AGGCCUAGAUUAGCAUCUCUGCACGUUCUUUUGGCGCCUUCACCUGAGCAUAGGAGGCUACGUUAUCCAUUUGCGUUAGCUGGAGGCAAAACAAAUGGACAACUGGAGGCGGCCAAUACAAACCAGCACAGGGUCGGCUACACAAGGAGCUUAAAAUGUCAUCUUGUUGUGUUGUUGGUGGCCAGAAUUGACGGAGUACAGGCAAUUUGAAAUUUUACCGCAUACCUGCUGCCAUUGCCAGACAAAAAAAAACGUUGACACUUGUGGUUAAACGCAAUAAAACAAGCGGACUGGACAGAAACGAUCAUCAAAAAUGCUCGCGUUUGCGGUGCACACUUCAUAUCAGGCACUUCAUGUUCCAACCACUGAAUGAACAAACCUAAUAUGGCUGCAGGUUUGCAACAGCACUAACACGGAUCUGCACGCCUGCCAGUUGGUGCCUGCAAGCCAUUAACCAUAAUCAAUACUUAACACUGAUAAAAAUGAUGACUUGUGCAUGAUUAUUUUAUUUUAUCUUUCUAUCUUUUUGUAAGUAUUGCCUGAUAAAGUCUGUUGCGGAUGGAAAUAUUUGUAACUGUAUGAAUGAGGGAUAAAGUCAGAAAGUCUGUUCAUUCAAUAAAACAGUCACAAAUCUUUCUAUGUCUUUCAGGA